ensembl:lncRNA
UCGUUCUGGGCACUCAAGCAGCUGGCUUGUUUGUUUUGUAGGUUUUGCUCACACAGCCCUAAAGACAUACAACAACCCUGUGAUCCCGGCCAUGAAAGCCUUUGACAACACAUGCCCAGCUCUUUAAGCCGCUCCUCAUAGGGCUUGUUUUCCAGACCCUUGAUCAUUUUGGUUGCCUUCCUCUGGACACAUUCCAGCUUGUCAACAUCUCCCAACAUCUCUUUUCUGAGUGUUGUUCUUUAUUUACUUUUCCGAUUUUAGAGAUAGCUAGAUUUUGUUCCUUUUCAUGGUUUCCCCCUUUUUGUUGAAAUUGCCCACAUGCUUGUAGAUUUGAAUGGCUUCUCUGUGUAGCCUGACCUGGUGGUGGUGAGAGUGUUGGACAGACACUCCCUUGAGAGGUGCUGAAAUCCAGCAUAAUCUGAACUGGGGCAUGCCAUGCCUUUCUGCUGCAAAGCUGAACUGAAAGGGUUAAGCACACUGAGCUUUGCAUUUUGCCUAGACCGAUCAGAAAGCAAAAAAAGGAAUAACAUAUGGAGAGGAAAACCCCCUUCCUGUUUCAUUUCCCUCCUCUUUUGCAGAGAGAAAUAGCUCAGAAAAAGCUGCAGCAGAGGAGAGAUUGGCCAAGCUUGUAAGAGAAAUGGGUGAACAGGAAGCAUCAGCACCCAAAAUGAAGGAAGAAUCAGAAGAGAGGAAAGAAAUUCCUCCCGUUGUCCAAGAAAACACUACAGGAGUGUUCUUGUUCACGAAAGGCCCAGAUGAAAUGAAGGAAGAACCAAAGGAAGGAUCCCAAAAGAACUGGGAGUCACAUUGGCAGGAAUUCAUGAACACGGUGGAGUCUCGGUGCCACCAAACUGAUGGGUCAAGGCCACCUCAUCCUUGGCCGGAGGAGGACACAAAGGCAUUUCAGACCUCCUUGGAAGGAGCGGCUGAUGGCAUCUCUCAGUCAAGAGGAGAGAAUGUAGUCCAAAACCAUUGUAAUGAUGGCUCGGUGGCUGACGAAAGCCAGGUAUUUCACCUGAAAGUUAAGGAUGAGGAGGAUGAAGAAGAGGCGGAGCAAUUCAAUCUGUUGGGCUGCCAAAGUGCCAAUGGAUCUCAAGAGGAAGACACGGCUGAGCCAGCAGCUAGAGAAGGCCGUCACUCAGCAAGGCCUCCGCGCAGGAUUGCCUAUUGGAGCGGCAAGGAGAUCAAUGCUCUCCUGGAUUACAUCCUGCGGUGCCAGAAGCUGUAUGUGCAGAGGGUGAUGGCAAGCACCAACUUGCGCACCAGAAACGUGUGGAUCGGGGCUUCCAGGGCCAUGGCCUUACUUGGCCUGAACAGAACCCCUGACCAGUGCCACACUAAAUUUAAGGCAUUGAAAUCAGCGUUCUAUCGGGCCAUGGAACGCCACGGUGGAGUGGUGCCACGGAAGAUGCAGCCACCCUUCUUUGCGAAGCUCCACCAGCUCUGGGAGAUAGGAGGCAGGGCAGACUGGAGAGACCGGAGGCCUGUUGCAGAUGCAUAUGAUCUCAAGGGGGGAGCAGGAGAUUCCAGUCUGAGUGGAGAGGAAAGUGGUGAGGAGGAGAGGGGCCCCAUUGCUCCUGCGCCAGGGCAAGCACACCAUGCAGCUGAACAUGGAGCUGUCCAGGAAGCAGCUGGUCUGCGCCAACUACAGCGACAGCACAUGGCAUUGGAGCAGCGUGUGAGUGCGAUCGAGAACACAUUUUCCAGGCUACAGGCAAACAUUCAGGAACUCCUUGCCCGUCUCCCUGCGCUACCCCCACCCUCUCCCCAAAACUAA